GCUCUUUUAGUAUAACUAGUACAAUUGACUUCCAAUCAAUAGGAUUUGGUAAAUAACCAAAAGAGAGCA
rnacentral:tRNA from 1 species